GACAGGCCAUGUGGCUUCCCCUGGUGCCCUUGCAUUGUUGACUGUCUGGAUGCUCUCUCUUGGAAACAGCUCACUAUGCUGUAACAAGCCGACACCCCACCAGGAGGCCAAAUGUAGGUGUUCCAGAUAAUGGCCCCAGCCAAGCCCACGCUUCAUGUUGUCCCAGCCCAGGCACCAGCCAUCCUCUCUUGCAGCUGGGGUGCUGACACAUGACACGGGACCUACUAAUCAGAUACACCCAAGCAAAAACUCAACUUGCAGAACAAGAGGAGGCAAGAGGCAGUGUACAGGAUCCAUACAUCUGGGAAGAUGCAGGUGGAGUAGCCAACCUCUGGAGGCAGUGGUGACAGAUGUCCCAGUGGCAGUCUUCACAGUGGACAACGACCCAGCGGAGAUCCUUAAGAGAACAGAGGCUAAAUUUUGCCUUCCCAACACCUAUUCAAAGAAAACUUAA